AAAAAUAUUAAAUCAUGAUAGCAGUUUGUCUAAGUAACAAGUCAUACAUUUCCAUGCUAUACCCCGCAAUUUGUAAGAAGAAAGAAUAACAACAGAAAAAUUCAUAUUGUAAAAGCCAUGUAUGUUACACCAAUAAAAGACUUACAGAAACUUGUUCUGAGUUUACCAAAAUAUAUUCUAUGGAAUCUGAGCAAUUUCCAGUAAUAUUUUGUGGAGAGAUUGUGGUUUUGAGAAGAAUGGACAGUGAUCACUUCCUUUAAUCUUGAAGACUCCUUCAGGUGGAUUUUCCCUUACUAGCUUUUCUUGGACAUCCGGUGAAAGUGCACGAUCAUCCAAUGUUUGAAUGAAGAACCGCCUGCUAGUUCCAUAUUUCUCAGAAGUCAACGACAACUUCUCCAUUACAGGACCCAAUGGGACGGGUCUCAUACAAACCAUGGCCAAAGCAACAUCCUUUGUUGGUGAUUGAUUGAAAUAUAAACCUCUCAGCUGUUGUUUCUCAAACAUAAAUCCUGUAGGACGGUUGUCUUUACCAUUCCCAUAUAUCAAAAACUCUGAUUCUUGCAUGAAACGUUCAGCAGAUCCAAGCUCUUCAGCAAACACAUCGAAAGGCCUCUGACCAUCAGACACCAUUGUGGCACAGAUAAAUAUAGCUUUUGAGAUCUUGUGUGGAAAAUGCUCCAGGGCAUAAGAGACACAUGCACCUCCAGUACUAUGACCAAUCAAAAUAACCUUUUCAUCCUCAGGAACGCUUUCCAAAUAAUCAAUUAAAGGUUUUGAGUAGUCUGCCAAUGAUGCGACACUGUCUGUAUCCGUCAGAUCAAUACCAGAUCCUAUUAGAUCUAUGGCAGUGGGAAGCAAUCCUGCUUCUUCCAACAGAGCAAUAGUUUUGUACCAACACCAAGCUCCAAAUCCUUCUCCAUGUAUGAGAAUGAACUUUUUUAACUUGAAAUUCUCCAGAAAGUCUGGCACCUGUUUUCCGUU
rnacentral:misc_RNA from 1 species